rnacentral:rRNA from 1 species
AUAUGACCAUGGAGGCAACCUGAUCCAGCAAUGCCGCGUGUGUGAAGAAGGCCUUCGGGUUUGUAAAGCACUUUUGUCCGGAAAGAAAUCCUCUGGCCCUAAUACGGCGGGGGGAUGACGGUACCGGAAGAAUAAGCACCGGCUAACUACGUGCCAGCAGCCGCGGUAAUACGUAGGGUGCAAGCGUUAAUCGGAAUUACUGGGCGUAAAGCGUGCGCAGGCGGUCCGCUAAGACAGAUGUGAAAUCCCCGGGCUUAACCUGGGAACUGCAUUGGUGACUGGCGGGCUAGAGUAUGGCAGAGGGGGGUAGAAUUCCACGUGUAGCAGUGAAAUGCGUAGAGAUGUGGAGGAAUACCGAUGGCGAAGGCAGCCCCCUGGGCCAAUACUGACGCUCAUGCACGAAAGCGUGGGGAGCAAACAGGAUUAGAUACCCUGGUAGUCCACGCCCUAAACGAUGUCAACUAGUUGUCGGGUCUUCAUUGACUUGGUAACGUAGCUAACGCGUGAAGUUGACCGCCUGGGGAGUACGGUCGCAAGAUUAAAACUCAAAGGAAUUGACGGGGACCCGCACAAGCGGUGGAUGAUGUGGAUUAAUUCGAUGCAACGCGAAAAACCUUACCUACCCUUGACAUGUACGGAAUCCUGCUGAGAGGUGGGGAGUG